rnacentral:rRNA from 1 species
AGAACGAACGCUGGCGGCAGGCCUAACACAUGCAAGUCGAACGCUGUAGCAAUACAGAGUGGCAGACGGGUGAGUAACGCGUGGGAACCUUCCCAGUGGUGCGGAAUAGCUCAGGGAAACUUGAGGUAAUACCGCAUAAGCCCUUAGGGGGAAAGAUUUAUCGCCAUUGGAUGGGCCCGCGUCGGAUUAGCUAGUUGGUGAGGUAAUGGCUCACCAAGGCAACGAUCCGUAGCUGGUUUGAGAGAAUGACCAGCCACACUGGGACUGAGACACGGCCCAGACUCCUACGGGAGGCAGCAGUGGGAAUCUGGACAAUGGGCGCAAGCCUGAUCCAGCCAUGCCGCGUGAGUGACGAAGGCCUUAGGGUUGUAAAGCUCUUUUGCCGGGACGAUAAUGACGGUACCGGAGAAUAAGUCCCGGCUAACUUCGUGCCAGCAGCCGC